GGACGAAAGGGCAAACCCGGGGCGACCCGGGGGCGCAAAGCCAACGGGCCUCAAAAACCGAAAUACCUGAGGUGGCCGGGCUGCCGAAA
rnacentral:ncRNA from 1 species